AACGAACGCUGGCGGCAGGCCUAACACAUGCAAGUCGAGCGCCCCGCAAGGGGAGCGGCGGACGGGUGAGUAACGCGUGGGAACGUACCCUUUGCUACGGAAUAGCCUCGGGAAACUGGGAGUAAUACCGUAUGUGUCCUUCGGGAGAAAGAUUUAUCGGCAAGGGAUCGGCCCGCGUUGGAUUAGGUAGUUGGUGGGGUAAUGGCCUACCAAGCCGACGAUCCAUAGCUGGUUUGAGAGGAUGAUCAGCCACACUGGGACUGAGACACGGCCCAGACUCCUACGGGAGGCAGCAGUGGGGAAUCUUAGACAAUGGGCGCAAGCCUGAUCGAGCCAUGCCGCGUGAGCGAUGAAGGCCUUAGGGUUGUAAAGCUCUUUCAGGGGGGAAGAUAAUGGCUGUACCCCCAGAAGAAGCCCCGGCUAACUCCGUG
rnacentral:rRNA from 1 species